rnacentral:snoRNA from 4 species
UACAUUCCAUGAUGUCCAGCACUGGGCUCUGAUCACUCCGGAGGACACAGUUUUCCCCAAGACCAUGGCUACCUGGGGAUCUGAGAGAAAA